rnacentral:tRNA from 1 species
AAAGGGAGACCUAAUUCGGGUAGGAGACGAAAAAAAAGUAGUCCCUACCAAGAAUCAAUCCCAAAAGGUCGGAGCGAGGCGAAAUUGGCUUCCAAACUAGGUUCUGGGUUCACACAAGACCUGAAUCAGGAACAAGGGCUAUUAGCUCAGGUGGUUAGAGCGCACCCCUGAUAAGGGUGAGGUCCCUGGUUCGAGUCCAGGAUGGCCCACCUGCACAGGUGGCAAAAAGAAAGAAAAGAAGCGAGGAAUCAGCACCUUAUCUUACUUAUAUAGUAAGAGAGAAUGCUGGCUCUGAGUUCAGAGUCCAGAGGAACCUUGAAAACUGCAUAGAGCUAGGUGAAAAAGCCAAAAAAGAAGACCGCAAG